UUAUACCGUGAAACUGCGAAUGGCUCAUUAAAUCAGUUAUCGUUUAUUUGAUAGUACCUUACUACUUGGAUAACCGUGGUAAUUCUAGAGCUAAUACAUGCUAAAAACCCCGACUUCGGGAGGGGUGUAUUUAUUAGAUAAAAAACCAAUGCCCUUCGGGGCUCUUUGGUGAUUCAUGAUAACUUAACGGAUCGCAUGGCCUUGCGCCGGCGACGGUUCAUUCAAAUUUCUGCCCUAUCAACUUUCGAUGGUAAGGUAUUGGCUUACCAUGGUUUCAACGGGUAACGGGGAAUUAGGGUUCGAUUCCGGAGAGGGAGCCUGAGAAACGGCUACCACAUCCAAGGAAGGCAGCAGGCGCGCAAAUUACCCAAUCCCGACUCGGGGAGGUAGUGACAAUAAAUACUGAUACAGGGCUCUUUUGGGUCUUGUAAUCGGAAUGAGUACAAUUUAAACCCCUUAACGAGGAACAAUUGGAGGGCAAGUCUGGUGCCAGCAGCCGCGGUAAUUCCAGCUCCAAUAGCGUAUAUUAAAGUUGUUGCAGUUAAAAAGCUCGUAGUUGAACCUUGGGCCUGGCUGGCCGGUCCGCCUCACCGCGUGUACUGGUCCGGCCGGGCCUUUCCUUCUGGAGAGCCGCAUGCCCUUCACUGGGUGUGUCGGGGAACCAGGACUUUUACUUUGAAAAAAUUAGAGUGUUCAAAGCAGGCCUUUGCUCGAAUACGUUAGCAUGGAAUAAUAGAAUAGGAUGUGCGGUCCUAUUUUGUUGGUUUCUAGGACCGCCGUAAUGAUUAAUAGGGAUAGUCGGGGGCAUCAGUAUUCAAUUGUCAGAGGUGAAAUUCUUGGAUUUAUUGAAGACUAACUACUGCGAAAGCAUUUGCCAAGGAUGUUUUCAUUAAUCAGUGAACGAAAGUUAGGGGAUCGAAGACGAUCAGAUACCGUCGUAGUCUUAACCGUAAACUAUGCCGACUAGGGAUCGGGCGAUGUUUCUAUCUUGACUCGCUCGGCACCUUACGAGAAAUCAUAAGUUUU
rnacentral:rRNA from 1 species